rnacentral:rRNA from 1 species
CCUACGGGAGGCAGCAGUGGGGAAUAUUGGACAAUGGGCGAAAGCCUGAUCCAGCAAUUCCGCGUGUGUGAAGAAGGCCUUCGGGUUGUAAAGCACUUUAGUGGGGGAAGAAACAGCUUGGCCACACCAAGCCUUGACGGUACCCCAAGAAUAAGCACCGGCUAACUCUGUGCCAGCAGCCGCGGUAAUACAGAGGGUGCAAGCGUUAAUCGGAUUUACUGGGCGUAAAGGGUGCGUAGGUGGCUAUUUAAGUCGGAUGUGAAAGCCCGGGGCUCAACCUCGGAAUUGCAUUCGAUACUGAGUGGCUAGAGUUCGGUAGAGGGCGGCGGAAUUUCCGGUGUAGCGGUGAAAUGCGUAGAUAUCGGAAGGAACAUCAAUGGCGAAGGCAGCCGCCUGGGCCUGGACUGACACUGAGGCACGAAAGCGUGGGUAGCAAACAGGAUUAGAUACCCUGGUAGUCCACGCCGUAAACGAUGAGAACUUGACGUUGGUUCGUUUUACGAAUCGGUGUCGCAGCUAACGCGAUAAGUUCUCCGCCUGGGGAGUACGGCCGCAAGGUUGAAACUCAAAUGAAUUGAGG